UACGUAGGGUCCGAGCGUUGUCCGGAAUUACUGGGCGUAAAGAGCUCGUAGGUGGUUUGUCGCGUUGUUCGUGAAAACUCACAGCUCAACUGUGGGCGUGCGGGCGAUACGGGCAGACUGGAGUACUGCAGGGGAGACUGGAAUUCCUGGUGUAGCGGUGGAAUGCGCAGAUAUCGGGAGGAACACCAGUGGCGAAGGCGGCACUCUGGGCCGGAACUGACGCUGAGGAGCGAAAGCGUGGGGAGCGAACAGG
rnacentral:rRNA from 1 species